rnacentral:pre_miRNA from 1 species
CCACGCACCCACAAACACAACCCAACUCAAAUGAAAGGUUUGGGUGUACUUGUGGAUGAAUGG